AGAUUUCUACAAUACAGUACACUUCAAACGUCCUCCUUUAUACAUAAUGAUUCUCCACUCCAUGAACUGUUUUUAUGAAGCAGCACAAAACCAAUAAAAAGGUAAAUUGAAUUCCUAUAAUAUCUGCAAAAUUUGAGCUUUGUUCAAGCCCUUCACCUGUUAAUCCAAUUCCAGGUUUGUGCAUCAAAACCCAAUAUCUGCUGUCCAGUACUCUCAAAGGUAAGUGUGCAGAUGUCUACAUUAGUUUCAAAAUGUUUUAGUUGUGUAAACACUAUUUAUCAAGCAGUUAAUGUUCCAUGAAUAUAUUUUCAGAUUUCUACAAUAUGUACACGUCAAACUUCAAUAUCCAUUAUGAUCCUCCGCUCCAUGAAUCGUUUUUAUGAAGCAGCACAAAACCAAUAAAAAGGUAAAUUCCAUUGUGUAAUCUGUGCAAAAUAAGAAUUGACUCAUUUCUUUGAGCAGUAAUUUAAAACAAUCAUAUUCUUUCAGUUUUGUGCAGAACAAGUCAAUAACUACUGUCCACUACUCCCAAAAGGUGAGUGUACAGAGGUCUACAUAAAGUGCUAAAUGGUCUAGUUGUGCAAACACUUCAAUUAUCAAGCAGUUAAUGUUUCAUGAAUGUAUUUUCAGAUUUCUGCAAUAUGCUACACUUUAAACUUCCUUCUCCAUUCUAUGAUUCUCCUCUCCAUGAAUUGUUUUUAUGAAGCAGCACAAAACCAAUAAAAAGGUAAAUUGAAUUCCUAUCAUAUCAGCAAAGUUUGAAGUGAUUUGUUCAAGCCCUUCACCUGUUAAUACAAUUUCAGGUUUGUGCGUCAAAACCCAAUAUCUACUGUCCACUACUAUCAAAAGGUGAGUGUGCAACUAACAUAGAACUCUGUACAAUGUUUUAGUUGUGUAAACACUAUUUAUCAAGCAGUUAAUGUUCCAUGAAUACAUUUUCAGAUUUCUACAAUAUGUACACGUCAAACUUCAAUAUCCAUUAUGAUCCUCUGCUCCAUGAAUCGUUUUUAUGAAGCAGCACAAAACCAAUUAAAAAGUGAAUACAAAACCAUUGUUCAAGUAUCUUCAGAAAAUGUCCCGGCAAAACUGUAAACUGAUGCAGGCAGUCAAUAGUCAAAGAUAUCACAAAUGCAUAACCACAAAAGUAACACAAUUCUAUAUGAAAUGUUGGAUGGAUGG
rnacentral:lncRNA from 1 species